CAGACUGCCUUUGGAUCUGUUACCCAGGAGGAAGUGUAACUGAGAGAAGUGAAAUACAGAUCUAAGAGGAGACAGAGAGAUUCAGGGAGGAGCUAAGAUGUUCCUGAACUAUAGAAGAGAGAGGAACUUCCAUAUUCACCAGAGUUCAACACAGACCAUCAUCAUCACCUUCAUUCAACAUGCUGUCAUUAGACUAUUAUUUACAUUCCCUACUGUUAGUUUCCAUUCUAAGAGGGGUCAGCUGUGAAGAUCUCACUGCAUUACAGAAAGAAGAGUUCAGUCCAGAAGGCAGCUCUGUUACUCUGUCCUACAGAUACUCCAAGGUUGCUGAAUUGGAUGAUUAUUUCUUCUGGUAUCGACAAUAUCCAGGAAAACCACCAGAGUUCCUCAUCCUUCAGUGGGGAACAAAACCUGCAUCAAACUCUCGACUGUCCGUUAAAUCGGAUGAGGAUAAAACCCAGAUCUAUCUGAGCAUCUCCUCUGCUGCAGUGACAGACUCUGCUGUGUACUACUGUGCUGUGAGGCCCACAGUGACA